GUUCAAAUGAGGAAAGGCUUAUGGUGGAUACCUAGGAAACCUGAGACGAGGAAGGGCAUAGUAAUCGACGAAAUACUUCAGGGAGUUGAAAAUAAGCAUAGAUCCGGAGAUUCCCAAAUAGGGCAACCUUUCAAACUACUGCUAAAUCCAUGGGCAGGCAAGUGACAACCUAGCAAACUAAAAUAUCUUAGUAUCUAGAUAAAAAGAAAGCAAAAGUGAUUUCUGUAGUAGCAGCGAGUGAAAUGGGAGCAGCCUAAACCAUGAAAACGGGGUUAUGGGAGAGCAAUACAAGCAUUGUGCUGCUAGGCGAAGCAACCUGAAUGCUGCACCCUAGAUAGAAAAAGUCAAAAAGAUGAAAGCAUAACUAGCUUAUACUCUAACCCGAGUACCAUGGGGCACGUGGAAUCUCGUGUGAAUCAGCAAGGACCACCUUGCAAGGAUAAAUACUCCUGGGUGACCGAUAGCAAAGUAGUACCAUGAGGGAAGGGCAAAAAGAACCCCUAUCGGGGAGUGAAAUAGAAUAUAAAACCAUAAGCUCCCAAGCAGUGGAGGGAGCAAGGGCUCUGACCGUGUGCCUGUUGAAUAAUGAGCCAGCGACUCAUAGGUAGUGGCUUGGUUAAAAGAACCCACUGGAGCCAUAGCGAAAGAGAGUCUUCAUAGGGCAAUUGUCACUGCUUAUGGACCCAACCUGGGUGAUCUAUCCAUGACCAGGAUGAAGCUUGGGUGAAACUAAGUGGAGGUCCGAACUGACUGAUGUUGGAGAAUCAGCAAAUAAGUUGUGGUUAGGAGUGAAAUGCCACUCGAACCCAGAGCUAGAUGAUUCUCCCCGAAAUGAGUUCAGGCGCAGCAGUUAACUGGACAUCUAGGGGUAAAACACUAUUUUAGUGUGGGCCGCGAGGUAAACUCCGAAUACUAGGUAUGGCCUUAAAAAAGAGGGGUCAAAGUAGGCUAGUAAAACGAUGGGGGGUAAGCUUCAUUAACGAGAGGAAAACAACCUGGAUCACGACCUAAGGCCCCAAAAUGACCGCUCAGUGAUAAAGUAAGAAGGGGUGUAGAGACAGCCAGGAGGUUUUCCUUGAAGCAGGCACCCUUAAAAGAGAGCGUAAUAGCUCACUGAUCGAGCGCUCUUGCACCGAAGAUGAACGGGGCUAAGAGAUCUGCCAAAGCUGUGGGGUAUAAAAAUACAUCGAUAGGGGAGCAUUACGCCUUAGAGGGAAGCCUCCAUACGAGAGGUGGUAGAUAAAACAGAAGAGCGAAUGUUGGCUUGAUUAACGCAAACAUUGGUGAUAAUCCAACGCCCCAAAAACUGAAGGGUUCCUCUGCAAGGUUCAUCCAUGGAGGGUGAGUCAGGGCAUAAGAUCAGGCUGAAAGGCAUCGUCGAUAGACAACAGGUGAAUAUACCCGUACUACCCCUUGUUGGUCCCGAGGGAUGGAGAAGGCUAGGUUAGCCAAAAGAUGGUUAUCGAUUCAAGAAUGUAAGGUGUCCCUGCCCUUUUUUCUGGGUAAGAAGGGGUAGAGAAAAUGCCUUGAUCCAAUGUUCGAAUGCCAGGUGCUACGACACUGAAGUAACCCAUGCCAUACUCCUAGGAAAACCUCAAACAACUUUAAGCAAGAGGGAACCUGUACCAGAAACAGACACAGGUAGGUAAGUAGAGAAUACCUAGGGGCGCGAGACAACUCUCUCUAAGGAACUCGGCAAAAUAGCCCCAUAACUUUAGAGAAGUGGUGCCUCUUCACAUCACAAAGGGGCUCACAGUGACCAGGCCUACCAGGCCCAGGCGAUUAUUUACCAAAAACACAGGUCUCUGCAAAGUCAUAAGACAAUGUAUGGGGGCUGACACCUGCCCAGUGCCAGAAGGUCAAGGAAGUUGGUGACCUGAUGAUAGGGUAACGACGGUGAACGGCGGCCAUAACUAUAAUAGCCCUAAGGUAGCAAAAUUCUUUGUCGGGUAAGUUCCGACCCGCAUAAAAUGCGUAACGAUCUGGGCAUUGUCUCAAAGAGAGGCUAAUUUUAUUCGAAACCCCAAUUGUGAUAUCCCUUCUCUCCAACUUCAUACCUUGAAACA
rnacentral:rRNA from 1 species